rnacentral:rRNA from 1 species
GAUCCUGGCUCAGGAUGAACGCUAGCUACAGGCUUAACACAUGCAAGUCGAGGGGCAGCAUGGUCUUAGCUUGCUAAGGCCGAUGGCGACCGGCGCAUGGGUGAGUAACACGUAUCCAACCUGCCGUCUACUCUUGGACAGCCUUCUGAAAGGAAGGUUAAUACAAGAUGGCAUCAUGAGUUCGCUAUGUUCACAUGAUUAAAGGUAUUCCGGUAGACGAUGGGG